GAGAGGACGUAUUUGAUAAGGAACCGCCAGUAUGUGGAAUGCCAGAGUACGUGUUGUACGUAUAUGAAAAUAUAAGCCACAGCGGAGGCGCACUAAAGGGUUAUAGGCCACUAUCCCGCUGUUUACAGGCCUGUAACUAUGACCCAACAUGUGAGGCAGUUGACUGGGAUGGGAGGUGGUGCUGGUUCCAUUACAGUUCUACUUCGUGCAGUCGAUUAAGAUUUGGAAGCAAUGUUCGUCACCAUCAAAUGAAACAAUGUCCUGGUAAUCCCGCCUACAACUGCUCCUGCUCUACAGGAGGAACGUGU